AUGUGUAAAGUCAUCCGUGAAAAUAUCAAAGCCGCGCAAUUGCGCCAGAAGAGUUACUAUGAUAGCAAGCACCGUGACUUGGCUUUCGAGAUUGGAGACCAUGUCUACCUCCGCGUCUCUCCAAUGAAAGGCACUCGUCGCUUCGAUAUCAAAGGGAAGCUUGCCCCUAGAUACGUGGGUCCUUUCAAGAUCUUUGGCAAAAGAGGCGAUCUCGCCUAUCAACUUGAGCUUUCAUCCAACUUUGCAAACGUGCACAAUGUGUUUCACGUGUCACAGCUUCGCAAGUGCUUCAAGACGCAUGAGCGCACUCUCAACUUCGAAGAGAUUGACCUCCAAGAAGAUCUGUCUUAUCAUGAGCACCCCGUAGUUAUUCUUGAAGAAACCGAGCACAAGACUCGCAACAAGUCAAUCAAAUUCCUGAAAGUGAAGUGGACACACCAUUCCGACCGAGAAGCCACCUGGGAGCGCGAGGAUCACCUCCGUUCCGAAUAUCCAGAGUUCUUUCAGUCCUAG
rnacentral:rRNA from 1 species